AGUUCGAUUAUGGCCUGUGGGGAUUGAACGCUGGCGGAUGCUUUACACAUGCAAGUCGAACGGCAGCAAUUUCGGUCUGGUGGCGAGUGGCGAACGGGUGAGUAAUGUAUCGGAACGUGCCUAGUAAAGGAUAAUCAUGGUGCGUAGCUAUUACCGCAUACGCCCUUCGGGGGAAAGCGGGGACCUUCGGGCCUCGCACCUGGCUGAGAGCGGCCGAUAUCGGAUUAGCUAGUUGGUGGGGUAACGGCUCACCAGGCGACGAUCCGUAGCUGGUUUGAGAGGACGACCAGCCACACUGGGACUGAGACACGGCCCAGACUCCUACGGAGGCAGCAGUGGGGAAUUUUGAUAAUUUCGGGGGAAACUCUCAUCCAGCCAUCCGCGUGCGAUGAAGGCCUUCGGGUUGUAAAAGCACUUUCGGGCAGGGGAGUGAAACGGCACGGGAUAAUACCCCGUGCAACUGACGGUACCUGCAGAAUAAGCACCGGCUAACUACGCCAGCAGCCAUGGUAAUACGUAGGGUGCAAGCGUUAAUCGAAAUUACUGGGCGUAAAGCGUGCGCAGGCGGUUCGGAAAGAAAGAUGUGAAAUCCCAGAGCUUAACUUUGGAACUGCAUUUUUAACUACCGAGCUAGAGUGUGUCAGAGGGAGGUGGAAUUCGCGUACAGUGAAAUGCGUAGAUAUGCGGAGGAACACCGAUGGCGAAGGCAGCCUCUGGGAUAACACUGACGCUCAAGUGCACGAAAGCGUGGGGAGCAAACAGGAUUAGAUACCCUGGUAGUCCACGCCCUAAACGAUGUCAACUAGCUGUUGGGGCUCCCGGGCCUUGGUAGCAGCUAACGCGUGAAGUUGACCGCCUGGGGAGUACGGUCGCAAGAUUAAAACUCAAAGGAAUUGACGGGGACCUCGCACAAGCGGUGGAUGAUGUGGAUUAAUUCGAUGCAACGCGAAAACCUUACCUACCCUUGACAUGUCUGGAAUCCCGAAGAGAUUUGGAGUGCUCGUAAGAGAACCGGAGCACAGGUGCUGUACAUGUCGUCAGCUCGUGUCGUGAGAUGCUGGGUUAAGUCCCGCAACGAGCGCAACCCUUGUCAUUAGUUGCUACGAAAGGGCACUCAAUGAGAGACUGCCGGUGACAAACCGGAGGAAGGUGGGGAUGACGUCAAGUCCUCAUGGGCCUUAUGGGUAGGGCUUCACGACGGCCGCGACAAUGGUUUGGACAGAGGGUCGCCAACCUGCGAGGGGGAGCCAAUCCCAGAAACCCGAUCGUAGUCCGGAUCGCAGUCUGCAACUCGAUUGCGUGAAGUCGGAAUCGCUAGUAAUCGCGGAUCAGCAUGUCGCGGUGAAUACGUUCCCGGGGUCUUGUACACACCGCCCGUCACACCAUGGAGUGGGUUUUACCAGGUAGUUAGCCUAACCGUAAGGAGUGGCGAUUACCACGGUAGGAUUCAUGACUGGGAAGAAGUCGUAACAAAGGCAG
rnacentral:rRNA from 1 species